AUAUGGCUACCAUACUUGGUCUCUAAGAGACCAAGGAACCUUCUUGAGAAGCAUCUUCCAACCCUGGAAGGUGGGAAAGAGAGUCAAAAACUGGCUAAGAUGUUCCAGGAAAAACUAGUCAUUGGCUCUUUCUCCAAACAGUGAAAAGCAGCCCACAUACAGGAAGCUCCUCUGGAGGUCAGCUAUCCUCUCUCAGAAGUAGCACUGCAGAGUCAGUCAAACCUGGCUGAACCAGAGCUCUCCUACUGACACUAACUUGCCAUGCUGAUCUUCCACAAGUAACUCAGUUUCUUCCUCAGUGAAGCUUAAGAAUGAAAUGAAACAAUGUACAUAAGAUGCUUAGAAUGAUGUUUCACAUGUCUUCACAUAUCACAUAUUGUAUUAUGUGCCAGGCCUUAUGCUAGUAGCUUUCCACUGAUGAGCUUGUAUGAUCUCAAAAACUAUAAACACAUAUAUACAUAUCCUUAUUUUACAGAUGAAGACACGGGCACACAGAGAAGGUUAAGUCACCUAUCCAAGAUUACACAGCUAAGCUGAGAUUUUUAAGGCCAAGCACUCUGGUUUUAGAGUUCUUGCUUGUUUCUGUGUAUAAUGCUACAGCCUCCUGUAUGUUCCCUUCUACUGCCUAGAAAGUUCAACCAAACUGUACACACUUUAAUGGCAACAUCUCUGGACAAAUGAGGGGUCCUAUUAGCCUUCCCACCUAUCCCUAGCCCUCGUAGAACAUCCAUGUAGCCCCUGGAGGAACUUGUUCAUUUCAUGAUUACGAUAAUAGGGUAGUUACCUAUGGUUAAUUCACUAUCUCAAUUUGAGAAGAAUAGGAGAAUGUGAGAAGCCAAGGGAGCCCAACUUCUGUCUUAUGAAAACUAACAAUUAUUUUCAGAAACUCCUAAAACAUGUGUACAAAACAUAUAUAUUAUUGCCUCAACCAAGACUGUGGCUUUUGUAUGAAUGGUCCUGGAGAAGGGAAAGAGAGGAGGGGUGGAGGGGGAGGGGUUGGGGGCUUCCCUGAGGAGGAGACCCAGAGGUGAAGUUGCUGAGGUUAGGAAGUUGCUGAGUCCAGUGUUGGCUACCCAGCAACAGGAUUUAGGAGGCACCGCAACCCCUGGGACUGGGGCUUAAGAGAGAUAUUGGGGCCAGAAGCCUAUGUUUGAGAAUGAUCCAAGAUAGUAAGUAAAGCUGUGGGAGUUAGUGACCUAGCCUGGGGAAGGUAUGAAGGGUGAAUGGAAACAAACACCAGAUAGAACCUUGAGAAGAGGAGACACAUAAGGUUUGAACAAAGAAAUCGACACUUUCAACAAAGAUUGAGAAGCAGCAGCCAGAGAGAGUGAGGAGGUAAACCAGGAAACCCAGGCGUCUCUGGCGCUGUGCAGAUAGGCCGUUUUAAAAGACGGCGGGGAUACAUCACUAACUGCAAGCGUUGACACCUCCGUUUCAGCAACAACUUUCAACGCCAUAUAGAAUGGUUGGGCUCCAAGGACACUGGUUCAUUUAUUUAUUCAAUAAUAUUUCUUGAGUAAUAUGUGCCAAGCGUGGCUCAAGGUACUAAAAUGUCCUAAAUGUCCAACAACGAAUGAGGCAGGCAUGAAGCUUACAUUGUAGUUGGGGGGCAGAAACAAAGGAUACUUUCAAUGUUUAUUUGGUAUAUUUCAAUGUAACUUGGUGAUAAGUUCUAUAGAGAAAAUGAAAGCAAGCUAAGGGGAUGGAGCGGAGAAGGCAAUGGCAACCCACUCCAGUACUCUCGCCUGGAAAAUCCC
ensembl:lncRNA